AAAGGAAUAGACGGGGACCCGCACAAGCAGCGGAGCAUGUGGUUUAAUUCGAAGCAACGCGAAGAACCUUACCAGGGCUUGACAUAUGGGUAAAAGAUCUAGAGAUAGAUCCCUCUCUUCGGAGAUAGCCAUACAGGUGGUGCAUGGUUGUCGUCAGCUCGUGUCGUGAGAUGUUGGGUUAAGUCCCGCAACGAGCGCAACCCUUGUCACUAGUUACCAGCACUUCGGGUGGGGACUCUAGUGAGACUGCCGGUGAUAAACCGGAGGAAGGUGGGGAUGACGUCAAAUCAUCAUGCCCUUUAUGUCCUGGGCUACACACGUGCUACAAUGGUCGGUACAGAGGGCAGCAAGACUGCGAAGUUAAGCGAAACUCAAAAAGCCGAUCCCAGUUCGGAUUGUAGGCUGCAACUCGCCUACAUGAAGUCGGAGUUGCUAGUAAUCGCAAAUCAGAAUGUUGCGGUGAAUGCGUUCCCGGGUCUUGUACACACCGCCCGU
rnacentral:rRNA from 1 species